UACGAAGGGGCUAGCGUUGCUCGGAAUCACUGGGCGUAAAGGGUGCGUAGGCGGGUCUUUAAGUCAGGGUGAAAUCCUGGAGCUCAACUCCAGAACUGCCUUUGAUACUGAGGAUCUUGAGUUCGGAGAGGUGAGUGGAACUGCGAGUGUAGAGGUGAAAUUCGUAGAUAUUCGCAAGAACACCAGUGGCGAAGGCGGCUCACUGGCCCGAUACUGACGCUGAGGCACGAAAGCGUGGGAGCAACAGG
rnacentral:rRNA from 1 species